rfam:Bacteroides oleiciplenus YIT 12058 genomic scaffold supercont1.1, whole genome shotgun sequence.
UCCAUCGUGAGUUGGAAUCUGAAGGAAGGUAGCGGCAAACAUCUGGCCUGACGUACAGAAACCGGAUAUAAGGCUAAAGGAUGUGGGUUAGUCUGCUAAACAAGACAAAGCCUUAUAACUAUCCGGAAACAUCCAAAGUAAAUCCGGCAGGUAUAAGAUGGAAAGAAUGUAUU